CCUACGGGAGGCAGCAGUGGGGAAUAUUGGACAAUGGGCGAAAGCCUGAUCCAGCAAUACCGCGUGUGUGAAGAAGGCCUUCGGGUUGUAAAGCACUUUAAGCAGGGAAGAAAAAAUUCAAGCUAACAUCUUGAGUCUUGACGGUACCUGAAGAAUAAGCACCGGCUAACUCUGUGCCAGCAGCCGCGGUAAUACAGAGGGUGCAAGCGUUAAUCGGAUUUACUGGGCGUAAAGCGUGUGUAGGUGGUUGGGAAAGUCAAUUGUGAAAGCCCCGGGCUCAACUCGGGAACUGCUUUUGAUACUGUCUGACUAGAAUUCGGUAGAGGGAGGCGGAACUCCAGGUGUAGCGGUGAAAUGCGUAGAUAUCUGGAAGAACACCAAUGGCGAAGGCAACCUCCUGGGCCUGAAUUGACACUGAGACACGAAAGCGUGGGGAUCAAACAGGAUUAGAUACCCUGGUAGUCCACGACGUAACGAUAGACACUACGUACGUACGGUUCGUCUCUGCGAGUCGGUGUCGUAGACGUACGACGAGUAGUUAGUCCGUCCGUGGGAGGUACGGCCGCGUAGUAGUUAAGUUAAAGUAGUUAGUUAGUAGNGNGAGAGNGCGACGGACGACGACGAGGGAGGAGG
rnacentral:rRNA from 1 species